rnacentral:rRNA from 1 species
GUGGGGAAUUUUGGACAAUGGGCGCAAGCCUGAUCCAGCAAUGCCGCGUGCAGGAAGAAGGCCUUCGGGUUGUAAACUGCUUUUGUACGGAACGAAAAGGCUCUGGUUAAUACCUGGGGCUCAUGACGGUACCGUAAGAAUAAGAACCGGCUAACUACGUGCCAGCAGCCGCGGUAAUACGUAGGGUGCAAGCGUUAAUCGGAAUUAUUGGGCGUAAAGCGUGCGCAGGCGGUGUUGUAAGACAGACGUGAAAUCCCCGGGCUCAACCUGGGAAUGGCGUUUGUGACUGCAAAGCUGGAGUGCGGCAGAGGGGGAUGGAAUUCCGCGUGUAGCAGUGAAAUGCGUAGAUAUGCGGAGGAACACCGAUGGCGAAGGCAAUCCCCUGGGCCUGCACUGACGCUCAUGCACGAAAGCGUGGGGAGCAAACAGGAUUAGAUACCCGGGUAGUCC